rnacentral:rRNA from 1 species
UAAUAGAUACCCUGGUAGUCCACGCCCUAAACGAUGCUCACUAGGUGUUGGGGAAGCGAUUCCUUGGUACCGUAGCUAACGCGUGAAGUGAGCCGCCUGGGGAGUACGGCCGCAAGGUUAAAACUCAAAGGAAUUGACGGGGACCCGCACAAGCGGUGGAUGAUGUGGAUUAAUUCGAUGCAACGCGAACAACCUUACCUACCCUUGACAUGUCCGGAAGCCUGCUGAAAGGCGGGGGUGCUCGAAAGAGAACCGGAACACAGGUGCUGCAUGGCUGUCGUCAGCUCGUGUCGUGAGAUGUUGGGUUAAGUCCCGCAACGAGCGCAACCCUUGUCCCUAGUUGCUACGCAAGGGCACUCUAGGGAGACUGCCGGUGACAAACCGGAGGAAGGUGGGGAUGACGUCAAGUCCUCAUGGCCCUUAUGGGUAGGGCUUCACACGUCAUACAAUGGACGGUACAGAGGGUUGCCAACCCGCGAGGGGGGAGCCAAUCCCAGAAAGCCGUUCGUAGUCCGGAUCGCAGUCUGCAACUCGACUGCGUG